CGCAGUAGCAAUACUGAGUGGCAGACGGGUGAGUAACAUGUGGGAAUCUGCCUUGUGGCUCAGGACAACAUUGGGAAACCGAUGCUAAUACUGGAUAAGCCCUUACGGGGAAAGUUUUAAUGCCACAAGAUGAGCCCGCAUUUGAUUAGUUAGUUGGUGAGGUAAUGGCUCACCAAGACAAUGAUCAAUAGCUGAUCUGAGAGGAUGAUCAGCCACACUGGGACUGAGACACGGCCCAGACUCCUACGGGAGGCAGCAGUGGGGAAUCUUGCACAAUGGAGGAAACUCUGAUGCAGCGAUGCCGCGUGAGUGAAGAAGGCCUUUGGGUUGUAAAGCUCUUUUGUAGGGGAAGAUAAUGACUGUACCCUAAGAAUAAGGUCCGGCUAACUUCGUGCCAGCAGCCGCGGUAAUACGAAGGGACCUAGCGUAGUUCGGAAUUACUGGGCGUAAAGCGCGCGUAGGCCGUUGAGUUAGUUAAUUGUGAAAUCC
rnacentral:rRNA from 1 species